GUGCUCAUUUCUACAGCACAUAUAUUAAAAUUGGAAUGAUGCAGAGAUUAGCAAGGCCUCUGCUCAAGGAUGACAUGUAAAUUUGUGAAGUGGUCCAUGUUUUU